AAUCAACGUUGGCGGCGUGCCUAACACAUGCAAGUCGAACGCGAAAGUGGAGCAAUCCAUGAGUAGAGUGGCAAACGGGUGAGUAACGCGUGGGCGACCUACCUUCGAGUGGGGGAUAACCUUCCGAAAGGAGGGCUAAUACCGCAUGACAUCCCGUGUUUGGAUACACGGAGAUCAAAGCCGGGGAUCGUAAGACCUGGCGCUUGAAGAGGGGCCUGCGUCCGAUUAGCAGUUGGUGAGGUCACGGCUCACCAAGGCUCCGAUCGGUAUCCGGCUGGAGAGGGCGGACGGACACACUGGAACUGAGACACGGUCCAGACU
rnacentral:rRNA from 1 species